CCUACGGGGGGCUGCAGUGGGGAAUAUUGGACAAUGGGGGGAACCUUGAUCCAGCCAUGCCGCGUGUGUGAAGAAGGCCCUCGGGUUGUAAAGCACUUUCAGUGAGGAAGAACGCCUGGUGGUUAAUACCCAUCAGGAAAGACAUCACUCACAGAAGAAGCACCGGCUAACUCCGUGCCAGCAGCCGCGGUAAUACGGAGGGUGCGAGCGUUAAUCGGAAUUACUGGGCGUAAAGCGCGCGUAGGUGGCUUGAUAAGCCGGUUGUGAAAGCCCCGGGCUCAACCUGGGAACGGCAUCCGGAACUGUCAAGCUAGAGUGCAGGAGAGGAAGGUAGAAUUCCCGGUGUAGCGGUGAAAUGCGUAGAGAUCGGGAGGAAUACCAGUGGCGAAGGCGGCCUUCUGGACUGACACUGACACUGAGGUGCGAAAGCGUGGGUAGCAAACAGGAUUAGAUACCCUAGUAGUC
rnacentral:rRNA from 1 species